GACGAACGCUGGCGGCGUGCCUAAUACAUGCAAGUCGAACGCUGAAGGAGGAGCUUGCUUCUCCGGAUGAGUUGCGAACGGGUGAGUAACGCGUAGGUAACCUGCCUGGUAGCGGGGGAUAACUAUUGGAAACGAUAGCUAAUACCGCAUAACAGUAGAUGUUGCAUGACAUUUGCUUAAAAGGUGCAAUUGCAUCACUACCAGAUGGACCUGCGUUGUAUUAGCUAGUUGGUGAGGUAACGGCUCACCAAGGCGACGAUACAUAGCCGACCUGAGAGGGGGAUCGGCCCAACUGGGACUGAGACACGGCCCAGACUCCUACGGGAGGCAGCAGUAGGGAAUCUUCGGCAAUGGACGGAAGUCUGACCGAGCAACGCCGCGGGAGUGAAGAAGGUUUUCGGAUCGUAAAGCUCUGUUGUAAGAGAAGAACGAGUGUGAGAGUGGAAAGUUCACACUGUGACGGUAUCUUACCAGAAAGGGACGGCUAACUACGUG
rnacentral:rRNA from 1 species